rnacentral:tRNA from 1 species
GCCGUGGAUCAGUGAUAGAGCAUCUGCUUGGAAUGCAGAAGGCCCCAGCUUCAGUCCCCAGCAUCUCCA